rnacentral:rRNA from 1 species
CAGUCGAGCGAAUGAUGAGGAGCUUGCUCCUCUGAUUUAGCGGCGGACGGGUGAGUAACACGUGGGUAAUCUGCCUGUAAGACGGGGAUAACUCCGGGAAACCGGGGCUAAUACCGGAUAAUAAGAGAAGAAGCAUUUCUUCUUUUUGAAAGUCGGUUUCGGCUGACACUUACAGAUGAGCCCGCGGCGCAUUAGCUAGUUGGUGAGGUAACGGCUCACCAAGGCGACGAUGCGUAGCCGACCUGAGAGGGUGAUCGGCCACACUGGGACUGAGACACGGCCCAGACUCCUACGGGAGGCAGCAGUAGGGAAUCUUCGGCAAUGGGCGAAAGCCUGACCGAGCAACGCCGCGUGAGCGAUGAAGGCCUUCGGGUCGUAAAGCUCUGUUGUUAGAGAAGAACAAGUACGAGAGUAACUGCUCGUACCUUGACGGUACCUAACCAGAAAGCCACGGCUAACUACGUGCCAGCAGCCGCGGUAAUACGUAGGUGGCAAGCGUUAUCCGGAAUUAUUGGGCGUAAAGCGCGCGCAGGCGGUCUCUUAAGUCUGAUGUGAAAGCCCACGGCUCAACCGUGGAGGGUCAUUGGAAACUGGGAGACUUGAGUGCAGGAGAGAAAAGUGGAAUUCCACGUGUAGCGGUGAAAUGCGUAGAGAUGUGGAGGAACACCAGUGGCGAAGGCGGCUUUUUGGCCUGUAACUGACGCUGAGGCGCGAAAGCGUGGGGAGCAAACAGGAUUAGAUACCCUGGUAGUCCACGCCGUAACGAUGAGUGCUAGGUGUUGGGGGGGUUCCACCCUCAGUGCUGAAGUUAACACAUUAAGCACUCCGCCUGGGGAGUACGACCGCAAGGUUGAAACUCAAAGGAAUUGACGGGGGCCCGCACAAGCAGUGGAGCAUGUGGUUUAAUUCGAAGCAACGCGAAGAACCUUACCAGGUCUUGACAUCCUUUGACCACUCUAGAGAUAGAGCUUUCCCCUUCGGGGGACAAAGUGACAGUGUGCAUGCUGUCGUCAGCUCGUGUCGUGAGAUGUUGGGUUAAGUCCGCACGAGCGCACCCUGACUAGUGCAGCAUCAGUGGCACUCUAAGUGACUGCCGGUGACAAACCGGAGAAG